GCAAUACGGGAGCGGCAGACGGGAGAGUAACACGUGGGAACGUACCCUUCGGUUCGGAAUAACCCAGGGAAACUUGGGCUAAUACCGGAUACGUCCGUAAGGAGAAAGAUUUAUCGCCGAGGGAUCGGCCCGCGUCCGAUUAGCUAGUUGGUGAGGUAACGGCUCACCAAGGCGACGAUCCGUAGCUGGUCUGAGAGGAUGAUCAGCCACACUGGGACUGAGACACGGCCCAGACUCCUACGGGAGGCAGCAGUGGGGAAUAUUGGACAAUGGGCGCAAGCCUGAUCCAGCCAUGCCGCGUGAGUGACGAAGGCCUUAGGG
rnacentral:rRNA from 1 species